CACUCUCUCUCUCUUCCCCAUUGUUACUGCCGCCGUCGCCGCCUAGCUCCAGCGCCGCCGUCUGCCGUCACCUCUCCGGCGCCACCAUCGCACCGCCGACCCCGACGGCGUCUCCCCCUCCUUCCUCAUCUCUCUCUCGAAUUUCGUCUCACUCUCCACUCUGUUUCCCCGCCGUCAUCGCCGACAUGCACUGCCGGCGACGACCCCUUUCCAGAUUUGCUGCUGAUUUCCGAAAAAAGGGUGACCCAAUUACUUGUUUCCCCUAAUUACUUUUAUAGGGUGAAAAGAGUGGAAUUAGCGAUGCGUCCAGGGGGGGUUCGGGUCGUCGCCGGGAUUUCAGCAGAUUCAACUCCUAAGGUGAUGAUAAUGAAAGUUGCUGACAAAGAAGGAGUUAGAAGCUUACUAAAUUGAUCUAUCUUCAGGUGAUCACAUCAUGUUUGAAUCCUACUGAGGAAUUUUAAGAAAAGAAAAGGAGAUGAUAUGUGGGCCAUUGAUUUACUUCUGCUGCUCAUUAAUUGCUUCUGAGCAUAUAAUCAUUACUUGUACAGGGAUGAGGCGUUUCAGCUACGACAAGCUUAUGUGGAGUGGUUUAACAUACUAUGAUUUGUACAUUUAUCGUUUAAUUUGGUGUAGGAGAAUCCCGGUUCAAACUCGUGGCUUUUCUCGAUGAUGCACCCACAUUCUUGGAACAUUCGAUGUAUAAAUUAGAUAUUUGUUGGACCUUUGCUAGAUGAACCGGACAUUAUAAAUUUUGGUUUCGGGAUCUCA